ACUCGACUCCUGUAUUUUCACAGAAAAUGACGGUGUGGAUUCUGCUCCUGCUGUCGCUCUACCCUGGCUUCACUAGCCAGAAAUCUGAUGAUGACUAUGAAGAUUAUGCUUCUAACAAAACAUGGGUCUUGACUCCAAAAGUUCCUGAGGGUGAUGUCACUGUCAUCUUAAACAACCUCCUGGAAGGAUAUGACAAUAAACUUCGGCCUGAUAUAGGAGUGAAGCCAACAUUAAUUCACACAGACAUGUAUGUGAAUAGCAUUGGUCCAGUGAACGCUAUCAAUAUGGAAUACACUAUUGAUAUAUUUUUUGCGCAAACAUGGUAUGACAGACGUUUGAAAUUUAACAGCACCAUUAAAGUCCUCCGAUUGAAUAGCAACAUGGUGGGGAAAAUCUGGAUUCCAGACACUUUCUUCAGAAAUUCCAAAAAAGCUGAUGCACACUGGAUCACCACCCCCAACAGGAUGCUGAGAAUUUGGAAUGAUGGUCGAGUGCUCUACACCCUAAGGUUGACAAUUGAUGCUGAGUGCCAAUUACAAUUGCACAACUUUCCAAUGGAUGAACACUCCUGCCCCUUGGAGUUCUCCAGUUGUAAGUAAUAUUCCUUCUCCAUUUGUAUCCUCCCUCACCUACAGUCUUUCUGAUUGCCAUGUUAAUUAAUUGAAAGAAGCAUAACAAAUUUCAAAGUUGUAUUAAGUUAUGUUACUGACUUCGAUGAUUUUGACCAUCUCUUUCAUCUUAAUCCCAGCUGGCUCCGAUUAGGGUGAUUCCUGCAAAAGAAGGGCUGAUUUUAUUAAGAAUUACAAUAGGUUUCCUUGAGUUGCAAACUUUUAAUAUAUUGGUUGCAUAGAGCCUUUUUUUUUUUUUUUUUCUGUAAGGGAUUGUAAAGCCAACCCUGGACUCAAUAGAAAAGGUGCAGUCUUUAAUUAUAUAUCCUCUUCCUUUCUCUCCUAUGGGCCUAGGAAGGGACUAUAGCAGCACAUUGCUAGUUAAGGCCUGCCCCACAGGACAAUUAUUUCAUUGAUAAAAUAUAUGUGAACUACUACUUGACACACAUAAGAUCAAAUAUAAAACCAUUAUUUUUACAUUUAUUAUUUUUAUCAGAUAGAUAAUAGAAUGUAGCAAGAAGAUCCAUGAUGAUCUAACACAGAUUAUGCUUUAGUAACCUUUACAAAUAUUUCCUGCCUGAAUCAAAGCCAAGCAAACCUAAAUUUCCCAAAACAUUUUCCUUACUAUUUGUUCAGCAUCCAUGAAAGGUCAAUUGCUUCUUUUACGUUUUUUGUCUGCCAGUUGUACAUAUUGGACAGAAUAAAAAUCUGAUUAUAGAUUUUAAAAGUAUGUUUGUAGAAAUGUAAUUUCUCAACCAGGGAGUCCACCAAGUCAUAGUAAUCACAGUUUGAAAAACGUUGAUGAUCAGAGAAGUAAUCACCUGUUUAUCACUUCAUCAAUACCAGAGGAAACCAGAGGAAAAACAUCACUGGACAUCAUAUUUACCUAGAAAAAUUCUCAUUAUAAAACUUAUUUCAUGUUUUCCUGAAUCCAAGAAUGAAAUAUGUUUAAUUAUAAAGUUAAAGCUUCCCUGUGCUUUAGAGAGACAAGCCUUCCUUUCUUUUAAUACUCCAAUUGGGACUACUUCUUUCUUGCGUCAGCUAAAAUUCAAGAACUGUUGAUUUCUCUGCCAUCAGGUGGCCAGUUGAAAAUGGUCCUCUGAACCCAAACACAAUUUAAUAUUACUCAUUGCUAUCAGAAUAAUUCAGUCACCAGCACAUUCUCUGCCUCAUAUCAUCAUUGUUUUUUUUGUUGUUGUUGUUUUGUUUUGUUUUGUUUUGGACAGGGUCUCGUUCUGUUGCCCAGGCUGGAAUGUGCAGUGGUGUGAUCUCGGCUCACUACAGCCUUUGCUUCUGGGGCUCAACUGAUCCUCCCACCUCGGCCUCCAGAGUAGCUGGGAUUUCAGGCACGCACCACCAUACCCAGCUAAUUUCUGUAUUUUUUGUAGAGAUGGGGCGUCGCCAUGUUGCCUAAUCUGGAUAUUAUCACUGUUUUCCUCAAUUUUCAUCACAUACUAUCAUAUCUCUCUCCAUCCCCUCCAUCUCUUCUAGGGACUCUCUCUUUUUUUUCCUCCCUCUUUAAUUAAUAUAAACAUAUAAUAGAUAAAGCUGCAUCAAAAGGAACAGAAAGGGGAAACUAUGUGGGAUUUUAUUCCAAGUACUCAAUCAGUGUUCAUAAUCAAACUAAUCUUUAAAUGGCAUUAUUAUUUAUUAUCACAUAAUAAUUAGUAUUAUUAGUAGACAAACUGUUAAAAUGAUUUCUGAUUUUUAUUUAUUUUCUUGAAAAAGUUAAUUCUGCAGUUGACUUCAUAAUAAUGUUUAUCCAUUCAACAAAUAUACAUUGACCAUCAAUUCCGUGAGAUAAGUACUAUUAUCCUCCCUAUAAGAGGACAAACAAUUUAGGAGGAAAAAUAUACACUUGUCUAGGGUAGAAUGGCUGGGAAAUGGUACUCAUAACCACUACUUUAUCUCACCUCCCCAGUGUGAUGUCUUCAAUGAAUACUCUCUGUUCUAUUAGUACAAGCUCAUUGAUGUCUUCCUCUUAGCAUUUCUACCUACUACUGCUUUGAAUUGUGUAUUUCUGUGUAUAUUAAAAUGGAGUCCCAACAAAUUGAGAAAGAAAGAUAAUAAAUAAUUUAGGUUAUUUUUUCCAACUAUCUUCCACUUCAAAUGCAUUCUUUGGAGAAGUUUUGAGUCUGUACUGUCUUAUUAUUUUCUAUUUCUGUGUGACUCAAAAUCUUGCUCUGUUAACUGCCUUUCACUGUGAUACAAGACUUUGUAUUUCUACUAUUUAUUAUAGACUGGUCACUUGGUAUGCACUAUUCCAGAUGAUGUAAAGUAUGCAUAUGGCAUAUAUAAAAUCACAUGUAGUAUACCUUCUAUGUCAUUUAAAUUAUUUUCAAGAGUAAAUUUGACCUUUGGAUUUUUGAAUCUAACUUUCCAUUAGGAUGCAAUGUCAUUGUAAUUUAUGUCCUCAUUGCAAUGCCCUUUUGUAACUGGGGGAGAAUAUUGCCAAGAUCCUCAUUUAGCUUGUAACUAUCUUUCUCAGUCUUUACCUCAGUGUCAUGUUCAUAGAAGAUGGUUGCUACAUAUGCUAAUUUAUAAUCAUUUUUAAUGUGAGCUUUCCUAUCUCACGGCAGAUGGCUAUCCACGUGAAGAAAUUGUUUAUCAAUGGAAGCGAAGUUCUGUUGAAGUGGGCGACACAAGAUCCUGGAGGCUUUAUCAAUUCUCAUUUGUUGGUCUAAGAAAUACCACCGAAGUAGUGAAGACAACUUCCGGAGAUUAUGUGGUCAUGUCUGUCUACUUUGAUCUGAGCAGAAGAAUGGGAUACUUUACCAUCCAGACCUAUAUCCCCUGCACACUCAUUGUCGUCCUAUCCUGGGUGUCUUUCUGGAUCAAUAAGGAUGCUGUUCCAGCCAGAACAUCUUUAGGUAUCACCACUGUCCUGACAAUGACUACCCUCAGCACCAUUGCCCGGAAAUCGCUCCCCAAGGUCUCCUAUGUCACAGCGAUGGAUCUCUUUGUAUCUGUUUGUUUCAUCUUUGUCUUCUCUGCUCUGGUGGAGUAUGGCACCUUGCAUUAUUUUGUCAGCAACCGGAAACCAAGCAAGGACAAAGAUAAAAAGAAGAAAAACCCUGUAUGUAUCAUUUUCCAUUGGGACCAUUGAAAUUUUUAUGAUUUCAGUUUAGUUUGUUUUCAUUAGCCUAUCUGCAGGCUAAGGCUCAGCAGUUUGGGCUCCAAGAUGAAAACAGCAUGUAUGAGUUUAGCCAGGCCAUAAUGAUUCAUUUAUGGUCAUUAGUUACUUGAGAGAGACUCAAGUCUGUUUCUAUUUUCUAUGUCAGGGUUCUUAUGCAAAUAUAAUUACCUGCUCUCUUUAUUUUGUGGAGACUAGAGCCAUUUUUGAGAAAUGCGACCUUCUUCUUGUUGCUAUUAUUCCAGGUUUCACUGAUUUUUUGAGAUGGAGUGUCACUCUGUUGCUCAGGCUGGAGUGCAGUGGUGGGAUCUCGGCUUACUGCAACCUCCGCCUCCUGGGUUCAAGCAAUUCUCCUGCCUCAGCCCCCUGAGUAGCUGGGACUAUAGGCACAUGCCACCAAGCCUGGUUAAUUUUUGUAUUUUUAGUACAGAUGGGGUUUCACCAUAUUGGUCAGGCUGGUCUCAAACUCCUGACCUCAGGUGAUCCACCUGUCUCGGCCUCCCAAAGUGCUGAGAUUAGAUGCGUGAGCCACUGCGCCUGGCCAUGAUAAUAUUAUUAAAUUACUGAUGUUUUAAAUUAAAACUUCCAUUUAAGGCAUUCCACUAGGAAGCUAUAAGGUCUUUGAAGUUUCAAGGCUGACUACAUUUUUGCAAAUGAUUUAGUGUGUGUAUGGAGGUGGAGUGUGGGUAUUGUCACCAGAUAAUUUCUAUUGAUUUCAUUCUUGAAAUGUAUCUUUUUGUUUUUAAAACAAAUGAUUUACUAUUAUAUGGGCAAGUUAGUUAGCCUCCUUGUGUGUGAUAUAUAUAUAUAUAUAUAUAUAUAUAUAUAUAUAUAUAUAUAGUGUAUUAUUUAAAAACACUCGUCUUAUGGGGCUGCUAUGAGAAAUAAAUGUGGCAAUGAAGGGCAAAACAAAAAAUCCCAAAAUAUUACAUAGUACUGUACACAUGAAUGUACUUAACAUUAGUAGUUGGUGAUGAUAGUUGAUUUUGAUGAUUUAUACGGUUUCCAGCCUGGAUUGACUUCAGUGCCACAAUUUGAAAACAGGGAGGAUGACUUCUACUUGCAACCAAACUUUAAAUAGUGAGGAUGAGGCAUAAACACAAAUGCCUAAAGCAACUGUUUUUUAUUGUGAGUGUUGAGGAGAGCACAUAGUUACCCAUUUACACACCUGAACAAAGUGGCUGGCUCAUAGAAAUCCCCAUGAAAGUUAAGGUCCAUUCCCUUCCAGGAUAUGGGCAAAGAAAAUCACCUGACAAUCCUGGAUCAUGGCCUUCUGCUUUGAGAGCCAUAAUACGCUCUACCUAUCCAACCCAGAGACUUUGGAGGUUGAAUUGUAAGGAAGGAAUUUAGCUGAUUCUAGGUUGUAUUCUGAUGCAGCUGCAGAAACCCAAGUGAAGUACUACAAGAGUAAUGUGUUUAUUUGAAUGUAAGACUUUGGAACAUGGAAAGAAAGAAACAUCAUUAUUCUUGAUUUAAAAAAUGCUUUCUUUAAUUGCUCAAAUAUUUACAAUGCUUUAUGCAGUCCUUCCCUUCCCUGUCUGUUUUGCCUCUCUCUGACUUUCCAUUUUCUUUAUCCUUGUUUUAUUUUCCUUGUUGUGUUGUUUUUGUUUGCUCCCUCUUGUUCACUUUCCAUUUCACUCUCCCUCAAGAAGGUGGUUCUAUUGAGAGUUGGCAUAUUACCUGCCAGCUAUAACAAGGACAUGAGGAGUGGCUUUCAAACAAGUUCUGAUGAGUCCUUUGGAAAAAGCCCCUUGGCCCUCUCUGUCAGCUACGCCAUUGCAGAGUAGAUUUUGUUGCAAAGAUAGAGGCAGAUUCCCUUAUUCAGGGUCAUGGAAAUGGCAGAAGAAGAAAAGGCAGAGGAGAACAGGAUAAAAAUUUGAGAAAAUGAAAUUACCUGAGAAUUUCAUGCACUUCUUUUUAGGCAAUUAGAUGAUUUAUCAGAACUAGCAAGAAAAUAAACAAGGAAUGAGAAGCUGAAAGUUUAUUUUCCUGUUUAAUAUGCCUUUUGGAUAAUUGUGUCAAGACUCACCUAUUAAGUUAUCCUUGAUGAUAAUUAGAAAAUAGAAUCAUGAUAUUUUUAAACAGGGGAACCAGGCAAUAGAAAACUUCCUUGCAAUUGAACAACUCUGGCUUCUUCAGUCAAAUAAUUGUAGAUUAAUUUAUUAAAAAUUUCACUAGUAAUUACAAAAUUACACUUAACUUUAAGCAAAUACUUUAUCCCAAGCUCAGAACUCUCCUUCUGUGUUUAUAAUUUCAGUUCAUUUCACUUACUGUGUUUUCAAAAUGUAUUUUUAAUUUAUCUUGUCUCUCUCUUUUUUUUCGUUUCUUUUUUUCUCCUUUUUAUUAAAAACAAAUGCAAUUCUCUUUUCUGUCUACAAACCCAAAGCUUCUUCGGAUGUUUUCCUUCAAGGCCCCUACCAUUGAUAUCCGCCCAAGAUCAGCAACCAUUCAAAUGAAUAAUGCUACACACCUUCAAGAGAGAGAUGAAGAGUACGGCUAUGAGUGUCUGGAUGGCAAGGACUGUGCCAGUUUUUUCUGCUGUUUUGAAGAUUGUCGAACAGGAGCUUGGAGACAUGGGAGGAUACAUAUCCGCAUUGCCAAAAUGGACUCCUAUGCUCGGAUCUUCUUCCCCACUGCCUUCUGCCUGUUUAAUCUGGUCUAUUGGGUCUCCUACCUCUACCUGUGAGGAGGUAUGGGUUUUACUGAUAUGGGUCUUAUUCACUGAGUCUCAUGGAGAGAUGUCUGUUCUAAGUCCACUUAAAUAAUCCUCUAUGUGGUUGAUAAUGAUCUGAAUCUGUUUCUAUGUCCAAACCUGGUAAAUUUUAUAAUGUCAUAUUGUUUGUGCCCAGCCCUCCUUUGGUUAGUGUACUUUGAACUUCGAUGUUUGCUGUGUUUCAAACCUGCAAGGCAAAGUAAAAUUAGAGCAAGAACAUUCAAACCAAAUAAGAUAUUUUUCAGCUACAGCAAAUGAAACAGUGAAAGCCCUGACUAUUUACAGUAGUGGUAUCCUUACUAGAUUCAUAAUGCAAUUAGAUAGAAAAGGUCCAAAACUGUACCCUAUGUUCACUCCGGGUCAAGUUGUGAUAAAUUUGAUCCCAGUAGAAUACCUCCCUCAUUUAAGAAAAAUCAUAACUCACUUUAAAUAUGAAAGCCUAGUCCAGAAAUCUAUUUCACCUUUAUCUCAAGAUAGGAAGAAAAUUUCCUCCACAUUCAUGUACAAUGAUGUAAAUAUUUCAAUAACUUAGAAUGCUUCAAGUUUAGUGCAUGCAUCUCUUUAGAUCCAAAAUAAAUGGAUUGAAGUUAUCAUCCUAUUGUCUUUUAUUUUGUGUCCUUGGGCUAUAAAAGAAUCCUGAAUGUAAUUAUAAGGAUUUGGGUUUGGAAAUGGAGGGAGGAAUUUUCAUUGCCUUCUCCCUCAUGCAUGAAGAUUCGAACAGCUUAUUUUUUCCUUGUAUGACAUAUUACAACACUUUAAGUAAAAUAUAGACUGGAUAAUCAACAUUUGCCACCUCUAAAUAUGCCCAAUUUCAUAACUAGAGUAUAAAGUAAUUGUAUGUGCUUGCCGCUAUUUUUUUCUUCCUUUUAGGAUGAUAGAUCAUAACAGAACUUAUUCUCCAUCUCAAGAUCUGCUUCUAGUGAUUGUGAGUGCCUUGUGGGCAGAAUCCUUGUCAUUUCCUCUUUGGGUCCGUAGCACCUUGCAUAGUGCCUGGCACAUAGUUGGUGCUCAAUAAAUAUGGUUUGAAGUGAAUUGCCCUCACAUGCUUCUGGCAAAUCUCUGUGCUGGCCUGAAACCAGUGAUUCAUCUUCUCACAUAGGUGUUGUCAAGUGAUAUUUGAUUUUGUAAAAAUAACCAGUAGGAUCCAAAGAACUUUAGCUAUUUAUGUUCAUCUUCAAAAAAUUAUUUUAGGCAAAGUCCAUACUCCUUUUAAAACAAUAUUUAUGUCCUAUGUUUGUGUAUAGAAAUGACUCUACUAGGGCAUAAUUAGAGUUUGUGUAUUAUUUUUCCAGGUUUGGGGAUGAGUCAGUCCUUGCCCAUCCACAAUUUUGUUUGUGAACUUAUAACAGGAAUAAGCAAAAUUCAUACCUGACUAGUGUUCAGAAUGUAGCAUUCUGUGCGAAAAAGUAUUGAAGAUUAGCUUUUAAAAACUGAAAAAAAAAAAAAAAAUGAAUGACUCACAUAGAGGUUGAGCCAAUGACUGUGGCCUCAUUAGAUUACAUUGUAGUUAAACAAAGCAAUUUCUCCAGACUUAAAACAUGAUGAGUUGAGCUCUAUCUUCAUGUACUCAUCCUGAAUCCUUAUUUUUCUAAAAUAGCACCCUUUGUUAAUUAUUUUUAUGGAAAUUAUUACUCUGUCAUAAUUAAAUCAUAGCUAGUAUAACUUUACAGAUAACCUAAAAAGAAUAGAAAAGAAGAGAGAGCGGCUUUGUCAAUAUAAAACCAUGUAAAGUCAUCAUCAAGUCAUCUGGAUGAAUCUUGAAACACAUUUAGCUGCCAGUUUUACAAACCUUUAAUAUAUCAGUGCUCCAGUAUAUAACCUCAAACAAAUGUAAAUAGAAUGAAUUAUUUUCUUGUUUUGAAUUGUCAGUAUAUUAAAUGUUGACUCUUUGGGAGAGUUGUUGGCAAGUUUCAAUGGUGAGAAACAUAUUAUUGUCAACUUGAAAUGUGUUCUGUAAUGGGGACACUACAAAAAGCUAGCUUUCCAAUGUGUGCAUAGUAUUGGCAAUAUGAAUAUAUAUUAUAUAUAAUCUAAUAAUUAUUAUAAGCUGCUCCCUGUCUAUGUAUUUGGAAACCUUUUCACAAAGGGAAUU
rnacentral:sRNA from 1 species